rnacentral:rRNA from 1 species
CCUACGGGUGGCAGCAGUGGGGGAUAUUGCACAAUGGGGGGAACCCUGAUGCAGCGACGCCGCGUGGGUGAAGAAGCGCCUCGGCGCGUAAAGCCCUGUCAGCAGGGAAGAAAAUGACGGUAACUGAAGAAGAAGCCCCGGCUAACUACGUGCCAGCAGCCGCGGGAAUACGUAGGGGGCAAGCGUUAUCCGGAUUUACUGGGUGUAUAGGGGGCGGCGACGGCGUUGCAAGCCAGGAGGGAAAGCCCUGGGCCCAACCCCGGGACUGCUGUUGGAACUGCGUGGCUGGAGUGCAGGAGGGGCAGGCGGAAUGCCUGGUGUAGCGGUGAAAUGCGUAGAUAUCAGGAGGAACACCGGUGGCGAAGGCGGCCUGCUGGACUGCAACUGACGUUGAGGCCCGAAAGCGUGGGGAGCGAACAGGAUUAGAUACCCUAGUAGUC